rnacentral:rRNA from 1 species
UACGUAGGGCGCAAGCGUUGUCCGGAAUUAUUGGGCGUAAAGAGCUCGUAGGCGGUUUGUCGCGUCUGCUGUGAAAACCUAAGGCUCAACCUUGGGCUUGCAGUGGGUACGGGCAGACUAGAGUGCGGUAGGGGUAACUGGAAUUCCUGGUGUAGCGGUGAAAUGCGCAGAUAUCAGGAGGAACACCGGUGGCGAAGGCGGGUCUCUGGGCCGAUACUGACGCUGGAGGAGCG